ensembl:snRNA U1 U1 spliceosomal RNA
AUACUUAGCUGGCAGGGGAGAUGCCAUGAUCACCAGGGUGGUUUUCCCAGGGCCAGGCUCAUCCCUCAUGCACCGUAUGUACUGAGCCCUGCGAUUUCUCUAAAUGUGGGACACUCAGCUGCAAAAUUUGAGGUGGUGGGGGGUCUGCGUUCACACCCUCCCC